AGUAUGUUGUGGUAGGUAUCUCUAGUGGGUGUCGUGAUGGCCAGGGAGCUUUUCCAUAAUCUUCUCCAUCAUGCUCUUCUUUUCAUGCUGCUGUUCCCGGUGCUGACCCCCGACUGUAGUAGACGUCCCGCUGCCAGUGGUGGUUGUUGGAGGAGAGGCGCUGUGUGCGUGCUGAUCAUCUAUGUGCUCCUGAUCGUCUCUGUCCUUGUGCCUCCCGCCCGUUAGUUUCUCCUUUAUCUUUUCUUUCAACCCUUUUUUCUUUCUUCUUCCUCCUUGUCCAUCAUCCUCCGACUAUAAACCAAAUUCAACAACUCAACCACCAAAAUUUUCUUUUAGCUAACAACAUUCAAAUUCAACAGGAGCCUGAUUCGAUAUUAUGUAAGUUCCAGGAAAAAAAACAAAACGUGUACACUUUACGUUAAAUUACGGUUCAUUAUUAACAGGAUCUGUCAGGCAAACAAUUAUGAUGGCGCAUUAUACACACACAGACACACACAUUGUAACUUGGCAAGUAUCUCACCGAGCCAGAGCUUGAGCUGCUAGACCGAUGAAGCUGCUCCUGAUGUUGCUGGGUUCCAGUGGCAGCAGUUGGUCCGGUUCCAGUAGAAUGGACAGCACUAGCCGUCCCGGCGGUGAUAGCUACACCGCUAAGCUGCAUUGGGUUGCCAUACUCGUCCUGGAGCUGAACCGGGUUGCCAUACUGGUCGGUCAACUGCAUAGG
rnacentral:lncRNA from 1 species